rnacentral:tRNA from 3 species
GCCCCGGUAGCUCAGCUGGGAGAGCGCCCGGCUGAAGACCGGGAAGCCGUGGGUUCGAGUCCCACCCGGGGCA